AUUGAACGCUGGCGGCAUGCUUUACACAUGCAAGUCGAACGGCAGCGCGGGCUUCGGCCUGGCGGCGAGUGGCGAACGGGUGGGUAAUGCAUCGGAACGUGCCCAGUAGUGGGGGAUAGCCCGGCGAAAGCCGGAUUAAUACCGCAUACGACCUGAUGGUGAAAGCGGGGGACCGAAAGGCCUCGCGCUAUUGGAGCGGCCGAUGUCGGAUUAGCUAGGUGGUGGGGUAAAGGCUUACCAAGGCGACGAUCCGUAGCUGGUCUGAGAGGACGACCAGACACACUGGGACUGAGACACGGCCCAGACUCCUACGGGAGGCAGCAGUGGGGAAUUUUGGACAAUGGGGGCAACCCUGAUCCAGCCAUGCCGCGUGCGGGAAGAAGGCCUUCGGGUUGUAAACCGCUUUUGUUCGGGAAGAAAUACUCUGGGCUAAUACCCCGGGGGGAUGACGGUACCGGAAGAAUAAGCACCGGCUAACUACGUG
rnacentral:rRNA from 1 species